AUUUAUAUAUUUCUUUAUAAUAAAUGAUCCCUAUUUGUUGCAUAUGCAACAAGUGGAUAUCUUGUACAACUCUCUUUGAUACAGAAAACUGAGAAUAAGAAUGAASCUGAGAAAAGAAAUCAAGUUUAAGUGCAAGAGUUUUGUUAUGCUAGGGGGCUUAAUGGGUUAUUAAUAUUAAGGGCCCAUCUUUUUGAAUGUAUGUAAAAACAUGACAUUCAAUURUUUUUCUUUUUUUAUGUGGUGAUAAUUUUGGAAUGGAAUACACACAGAUGUGUCAGUCAUGUGGCAAACUUGACAACUUAGAAGGAUGUGUGAGAGGAUUYCAUGUUGCUUAUCCYGAACAACAAGAACACAAGAAAAYUUCAAGACCUUCGUCAAGUGAAACUUUCUUAACAACUCAAUAAUGUAGUCACUCUGAACAAAAUAAUAUAAGAAGGAUUCAAUUUGCCAAGAUAUACAUUUUUUAUGAUGGUUUUUGCUCAACAAGGAUUUCUGACAGAUUUUCAGCAACAUUGAUGCAAGAAAAUCAUCAUWAAAUCAUAACAUAUCAAGUGUUUUUAA